CAUUGGCAGCCCGGCGAUGGCGGGGCGGGCCGAGAGCGCCGAUUGGCCGCGCCGGGCGGGGCCAGGCCCCUCCUACCUGUCUUGUCCACGCCCUUCGGCCCUGUUCCGCUCGCGGCCGUGACCCCGCGGGCUUUUACUUUGGGUCCUGCGCAUCCCGCUCGCCUUUUUUGGGAGGGUCCCUGUGCAACGGGAUCCCCUGGGGAGGGCUGAGGCUGAGGAAACUGAGGAACGGUGCCCCUCCCCGCCGGGAGUGCCCCUCUCACCCCUCUCCAUGACGCGGUCUGAGCGGGGGAGGCUGUGUAUCAGGGUGCUGACCCCACCCUGCGCCUGCCGGGGUCCGGAAUCUCAUGGGGUUGUGGAAAGAACAGAGGUCAGGAAAUCACACAGGCAGUGCUGUGAGAUCCACUUUUUUGUAGGUGAUAAGUGGCUCAGAGGGAAGCGGAGCAUCUACUCUGCAUGCUUGUUGCAUCCCUGUGCUGGAACAAGACAUUCCCAGCAACUGCCAAGGUGUGGCAAGGAAGUGUCCUAGCCUUGCCAUCCAGAGCUGCAGCAGCAAGAAUUACAAAUGGUGACUUGUUCUGAAAACUGAACUUACUUCUCAGAAGAUUUUUCAGGGAUGGUAUGCUGAAACCAGCAGGUACUUUUUUACAGCAUGAGACCAUCUGUGAAGGUAAACAGUCUGCCUCUUGCCAUCCUUCAAUAAACCAUAUGGUGGUUAAAAAAACAGACUAGCACUGACUUCCAAGCUCAUGUACUGCAGACAAGCCUCACAUAUUUGCUCAUGUAUUUGCUAUAGUGUAAAACUGGAUUAAACAGUCCCUGGGUGUAGUGUUGAAAACACAAGGUGACAUAUGUCCAGUCUGGAGCACAGUAGGAAAACUGUCUUCUGGUCUUCUAGCAAAGAUAGAAGAGGUUUUAAAAGGCAUGGAAGAGAAAGGAAGAGAAGGCUAAGGUGAUCUUUUUUACAUAGAAUUUGGGAGUGAGGGGAAAAAUAAAGGGAGAGGCACCAAGCACUGAAAUCCUUGAAGGAAUGGAAACUUGGUUAUAGUGUGAAACAACAUUCUACUGCCAAUUACAGGUUUUCCAUAGGCACUUGUAAGUUAUGAGGGAGACCAGAAUUUGAAAGCCGUGAAACAUGUUUAAAGUUUCCCACUGAUGAUAGCAGAUCAAAAAUAUAAUCUGACUGGCCAUGAUAAAUUGUGCACAGUGAGAACUGAUCUCUUUCCUUAAAUCCAUAAGAGGGAGUCUGUGAGCAAAAAAUCCUUCAGCAGCACUAUAAGGCACUAGAUCUUAUAGCUGACCAGAGUGUGUACAGGGAACCACUGCGCUGUCUGAGCCAGUUCCUGGACAAGGAUGCUGUCUGCUCUCAUCAGUGUGAAAAACAUUCUCUUGCUCUAGUUGCACACUGUCUGUAAGCAAGGCAGAAGAAUGAAGUCUGAAGUGCAAUGACUAUUUUCGAGGAGCAUAUAAGAUAACUGAUACUCAAUUGUUAUAAAUGGGAUAACUUGGAUAAUUUGGAGGUGCAGAGUCUUGAUAGGGCACUCACUAAUCAUAUCAGUAACACUUUAUCAGGUUGGGAUUGCCUGGUAACCAGAUUGGAACCACAUAAUUUGCAUAUGGAUGUUGCCAAACUGAGACCAAUGGACAAAAAGUAAUUCCGAGUGGAUUGUUUCUUUGGAAGGAGUUUGAGAAAAAAAAGGACAACAAGAUGUCUACAAAAAGCUAUUCAGAAGUAGAAAAAAUCAGUGAAUGAAAUCGGGUACAAAGAAGAUAUGAGAUCUUCCGACAGUAGGAGUGCCUAUGGAUUGUGAUGAAGCUGACAGCAGAUCGAAGCCCACCAGGAAGCUGGAGGGAAACCUGUUGGUCAACCCAGUAGAAUCUCCCUCGGAGAACAGAGGGCUCGUUGGCUAUGUGCUUGUAUGUCUCUAUUAGUGAGAUGAAUACCAAGUUUCCUUGUAGCUUUUGGUCAAGAUGCUUAUCUUUUGGAGUAUAUAGGAGGAACCAUGCCUACAUGCUGUGGCACACCACUGCUCUACGUGUGUGAGAAGAGAACAUCAAAUAAGUAAUUGCAUGGACUGAGGAGUGUUUUUUACUUUGAGGAGGCAGCAUGUUUGACUUGAACUAGAUGUUCUUCUGUUGAUACUGUAUUUCUGAUUUUAAAGUGUCUGGCUCUUGCAUUGUGAUUACAGUACUUUUCAAAGAGCAGCUUUUUAAUAAAAAAUUUUUAAUAUUCAAUUUUUACGUUGAGAAUGGAAAUUAUGUUCUUGCUGCUCCCAGGACCAAACAUGGUGCUGACUGCGUUUUCAAGCAAGAAUUUCUAUGGUUUUCAGUGCUUGAAAAUAUUCAUGGUAGUAUUAAAUGAUGGGCUAAUCCUGCAAGUCAACAACAGGUCUCUGAGGUGGCUUGACACAACUUCUCAGCUCAUUUGACUUAAUGUUUUUACAUUUUCCUGUAGAAACUGAUGUACAUUACAGGACACCGUGACCAUUUUGUAUUGGAAAAUGGAACCUCAAAGGUCAACCCAUGAGUGUGAUUGUCAGGUUUAACAAUCACAGCUACUCUACCCUUCUGUAACCUUCCCUGGAGUACUGUAUCCAGGUCUGAGAUCCUCAGCACAAGAAGGAUGUGGCCCUGUUGAAGGAGUCCAGAGGAGGCCACAAAGUUGUUCUGAGGACUGGAACAACUCUGCUCUGAAGACAGGCUGAGAGAGCUGGGGUGUUCAGCCUGGAGAAGAGAGGGCUCUGGAGAGACCACAUUGCAGC